rnacentral:rRNA from 1 species
AUUGAACGCUGGCGGCAUGCCUUACACAUGCAAGUCGAACGGUAACGGGCCUUCGGUGCCGACGAGUGGCGAACGGGUGAGUAAUGCAUCGGAGCGUACCUUUCAGUGGGGGAUAACGUAGCGAAAGUUACGCUAAUACCGCAUAUUCUGUGAGCAGGAAAGCAGGGGAUCGCAAGACCUUGCGCUGAUUGAGCGGCCGAUGUCAGAUUAGCUAGUUGGUGAGGUAAAGGCUCACCAAGGCGACGAUCUGUAGCGGGUCUGAGAGGAUGAUCCGCCACACUGGAACUGAGACACGGUCCAGACUCCUACGGGAGGCAGCAGUGGGAAUUUUGGACAAUGGGGCAACCCUGAUCCAGCCAUGCCGUCGUGAGUGAAGAGGGCCUUCGGUGUUAAG